AAAUUGUAUUUACAAUAUGCUCUUGGAGACAUUGAUGAAGUAAAAAAACUGAAGCAAAAAUUUAAAGAACGAAGAAGUGUGGUGCAAAGAAAUUUGGAACAUCUAAUAUUAACUUUUCCACCCAAACAAAUGUAUGCUUUGAGCAACAAAAGGAGAAAAAGGAAGCCAUACCACAAUUCAUAGCUCUAUUUUUCUUUAUCUCUGGUAAAAUUUAAAGACUUUAGCAACGAUGAAUUAAGGUAUCUUGGAAUUUUGACGCAUGAUCUACAUCCUGCCACCAUUUAAACAUAAAAUGCUCACAAAUAAGUUUGAACCAUGGUGUGAAUCCAUAUUGAGGAUCGGAAAACAUCUCUUUUAACUCUUCCAUAGUAACAUACUUAUAGGCUUGAACUUCAUUGGGAUUGAUAUCCAGCUCAACUUUACCUUUGAAGAAAAGAAUGUAGUCAACUAGAAUGUCCGUUAGUCAAGUGUUCAAUAAAGAGAAACACGGAUCAACCACAUACUUUCAUGCUCUCCCCAAGCACCAGUACUAGGAGCAAGGUAAUGGAUUCGUGUAAGAAACUGAAAUUUGUCUUUGGGAAUAUACUUGGCUUGAAUACCCAAUUCAUGGAACAGCUUGCGUUGAGCUGCAUUCUUAACACCUUCAACAGCUUCAGGUAAAGUAUUACCACGUUCACCAGCAACAUCCAAUGGGUGGGAGCAACAUGUAUUCGUCCAUAAGGAUGGAAAUGUAAUUUUCUCUUCUGCACGCU